UUUGUUUGUUUGUUUUGCAACAGUGUCUUGAAAGAUUACAUUGAAGUUGUACAGUACUUGUAGGCACAGAAACUACAUGCUAUGGCAGUAGGUGGAACUUGACUUGUAACUAUACUGUACUAAGUUUUAAUAAAUAAACAGUAAAGAAAAAUGAUAUGCUCUUUCAUAGCUAAAAAUGGUCUGAGAUUUCUACAUAUUGAGCAAUAUUGGGUUCACGAGCAACUAUAUGUUUUUAAUUCAACAGUCUUAAUUACAAGAAAUCUAAUGAUAAUGAGUAGUAAGAAUGAACAAAUAUUUUUUUAAAAAGAUAAAAGAGAACUUAGAUUCUAUCUAAAGGAAAGAAAUAUUUUGGUAAUAAAUUGGUGCCUUUAUGUUGGAAAAGUCAUUUCUUUUCUUAGAAUAUAUAUGCUAUUAUUCGUUGUCCCUUAUUUUUUGCUUUCCUUUUUAUUUCUUCUUUGCUAUCCUUUUUAUGGCUACAAAUAGCUGUUUAGUAAUUGGAAAAAUAUUGUGUUAAUGUGUGAUCCUAAAAAGGAAAGCAAUUGGUGUCUUAAGCAUUUGGUAAUAGGAUAUCAGAUUCUGUCACUGCUAUAAAAUCAGUAAUAAGCUUAGGUAAAAUUUUUAUCCCGUUGAAGAACAAAUUUUCCAUAGAUUUCAGUAGGAACAGAACUUUGUUGUUGGUAUGUAGUAAGUAAAGUCUGAGUUGGAGUCUGUUGCAGGCACAGAUAGACUGCCUGUUUGGUUUGCCUUAGCCGAGGCCUAAAGUCCCCUCCUGAUGACUCUCAUCUGCCCAUGGUUAUCUGAUGUGUUCAUAGUCCCUAUGUCUGUGUCAGAGGGAUCCAAACUCUGCAGCUAGUACUGUGCUUGCUACAUUGGCUAGUGGCUGCUGAAUAGAAGUGACAAAGUGUAGAAUCCUAUGCUUGGAAAGCUGGCCAGUUAAAAUACUAAAUGUUCUAUUUACAAAUAAUAAAAAAAAAAAAGUCACAGUACAGCUGCAGAAUUUUUUAGAACAUUUGUUCAUGGUGAUUCAUUAGGUGAAUGAUUUUUAUGUCCAACAACACCAGCAGCUUCUAUUAGACAGAUCUCAUGCAAAAAAUGUUUUUGAUGUAAACUAUAGUGUUUCUCAUGUCAAAUGUUACAGCUAAAUUCAUAGCUUUACCUAACUCUUCUGGUAGAUUUAUUUAUAGGCUGCAUAUCACUGCGGCAUACAUAGAUUUAUGACAUUAAUGAAAAGAAGUGCUCGUGAUGCAGCUUGUCUGGUAACCAUUUACUUGCAUUUAAAAUCAAUCAAAGUUUUAAAAAUACAAAUUUGUAAAAGUAUGCAAAUUCCAAGUAAUAUUUGACAGUCACAUCCUUAAUUACCCCACCUGUCUAUUGAAUG
ensembl:lncRNA